ACGGGUGAGUAACACGUGGGUGAUCUGCCCUGCACUUCGGGAUAAGCCUGGGAAACUGGGUCUAAUACCGGAUAUGACCUCCUAUCGCAUGGUGGGUGGUGGAAAGAUUUAUCGGUGCAGGAUGGGCCCGCGGCCUAUCAGCUUGUUGGUGGGGUAAUGGCCUACCAAGGCGACGACGGGUAGCCGACCUGAGAGGGUGACCGGCCACACUGGGACUGAGACACGGCCCAGACUCCUACGGGAGGCAGCAGUGGGGAAUAUUGCACAAUGGGCGAAAGCCUGAUGCAGCGACGCCGCGUGAGGGAUGACGGCCUUCGGGUUGUAAACCUCUUUCAGCAGGGACGAAGCGCAAGUGACGGUACCUGCAGAAGAAGCACCGGCUAACUACGUGCCAGCAGCCGCGGUAAUACGUAGGGUGCAAGCGUUGUCCGGAAUUACUGGGCGUAAAGAGUUCGUAGGCGGUUUGUCGCGUCGUUUGUGAAAACCAGCAGCUCAACUGCUGGCUUGCAGGCGAUACGGGCAGACUUGAGUACUGCAGGGGAGACUGGAAUUCCUGGU
rnacentral:rRNA from 1 species